rnacentral:rRNA from 1 species
AGGAUAAACGCUGGCGGCGUGCAUGAGACAUGCAAGUCGAACGGACGAGUGGGCUUGCUCACUCGUUAGUGGCGGACGGCUGAGUAACGCGUAGGUGACCUGCCCCGAAGUGGGGAAUAACUGCCCGAAAGGGUGGCUAAUACCGCAUGUGGUGCCACGUUCAUUCGUGUCUCCAAAGCCGCAAGGCGCUUCGGGAGGGGCCUGCGUCCGAUUAGCUCGUUGGUGGGGUAAUGGCUCACCAAGGCGACGAUCGGUAGGUGGUCUGAGAGGACGAUCACCCAGACUGGGACUGAGACACGGCCCAGACUCCUACGGGAGGCAGCAGCCGGGAAUUUUGCUCAAUGGGCGCAAGCCUGAAGCAGCAACGCCGCGUGGGGGAUGACGGCCUUCGGGUUGUAAACCUCUUUUCCCGGGGACGAUGAUGACGGUACUCGGGGAAUAAGUCACGGCUGACUACGUGCCAGCAGCCGCGGUAAUACGUAGGUGACGAGCGUUGUCCGGAUUUACUGGGCGUAAAGAGCGCGCAGGCGG